GACGAACCGAGCGAACGUUGUUCGGAAUCACUGGGCUUAAAGGGCGCGUAGGCGGGUGCUCAAGUCCGGGGUGAAAUCCUCCAGCUCAACUGGAGAACUGCCUCGGAUACUGGGUGUCUCGAGUGUGGUAGGGGUAUGCGGAACUAUCGGUGGAGCGGUGAAAUGCGUUGAUAUCGAUAGGAACUCCGGUGGCGAAGGCGGCGCUCUGGACCGAGACUGACGCUGAGCGCGAAAGCGUGGGGAGCAAACGGG
rnacentral:rRNA from 1 species